AUGAUAAAACAGAUCAAGCUCGUCUCCUGUCAGUGGCUGUCAAGAAUUUCUCUUAGCCCUAGCUUAUUCCUGCUAAUGCCAAAGCAAUCAACAACUCCCCAGAUGCUUUAUUGCCACCAUGCUAGGACCCUGAGAACUCACAAGGGCAGAACAAUUUUCUCAAUUAUCAUGGCUUGACAUUUGGAAUUAACAUCUCUGACCAAAGAAUUGACCAGGUAAAGAGUCUGGUUCAUCUUUCCAUCAUAGCCUCUUUAGGCACCAUUCCUUCCUUUCAUUCCCUUGGUAUUAUCCUAAUUCUGUCCCAACUACCUUAUGCACAUUCUUUUUUUUUACUAAGUUUUAUUUAUUCUUUUUUCCUUUUUGUAACUUUUAUAUAAUUUCCUAACAACUCUUCCCCUUAUCACACCACAGAACAUAUUUAUAUAUUCUAUCAAAUCAAUCACUCAACAUUUAUUAAGUGCCUACUAAGUGCCAUGCACUGGAUACAAAAAGAGGCAAAAAAAAAAAAAGGUCCCUGCCCUCUAGGAGUUUACUGUCUAGUGUAGGAGACAAUAUGCAAACAAAUACAUAAUAUUAGGAUAAGAAUGGAUUUUGGAUUUUGUUCAAUAAGUUAAAUUCUGAAAGACUGCCUCUGGCUUGCCUUGGAACUUGCAAAGCAGUAGGGGUGCUUAGAAUUCUGUGGAAUGUUGAAGUGUUGUUGUUGUUGUUCUUUUUUAUUUCAACUGUCAUUCCUGAAGGCUCUUCUCUCACUGGAGCUUGGUGAGAGAUGUUAUUAACUAACCUCUGGAGCCCUUGGUAUUCCCUGUGUUAAUUUGGGAAUACCAGGAUCAGAGUUCAGUGACUGUUUGACUGUGGUCAGAGAGCUAUUAUUGAGAAGAAGCAAGAACGUUGUUUUUGUCUCUGUGAGUCUGGCAGAGUGAAGACAGACUGCUGGCUGGAGCUGGUCAAGAAGUCAUUCUUGGCCUACCUGGCUUAACCUUGGAGGCAGUAUAUAUUUUGAUCUAUGAGGGUUUGGACAUAGGUUUAGAUAAGCUAGAUAUUGGGCUUGAAAGAUAGCAUAGGGAGAAAUAGGAAGGUUUGGAGGUGACUAGAGACACAAAGGUGAGCCUUGCUGCUCAGAAGGGAGUGGGAAAAAGUUUAGUACCCUAAAUAGAAUUUAGGGAACCCUCUACCUCAACCCUGUUUACUAUCUUUCUUUAAAUUGUAACAUAUUAAAUAAGGUUUGUUUUUUGUAACCUGCCUCCAAAAAAUUUUUGUCAUUUGCCAGAGUUUACCUGCUUCAUAGCUUACCUCAACUUAAAUGCAGUCAGAUUGCUUUUAACAGCAACAACCACAUAGUAAGGGAUUUUGCAUAAAGUUCAUUAUCAACCCUUACAGUUUGGCGAGCCAGGUAGGAGUCAAACCUAGAAUAUUCUGAUAAUUCCAAUUGAAACAAUUCAAACCAAACUUUUUAACUAUGCUUUUACUGUUUUUUAACCUUAUGCUAUUACUAAUACAGGAAACCAAAAGCUGUUUACAUUAAAACUCAAAAUUAACUUGCUAUGCUAAGAAAACCAAAACCUUUUUUACACAUUAUCUACAUGUCAUAUACAGAUGUAUACAAAUCUACACAUUAUCUACAUACUAUUUGCAUGUAUGUAGAUGCAUAAAAUCACACUAUUUACAUUCUAUAUACAGGCUACAGCAUGUUACAUACAGUAUAAAUAGGAAAUAAAAGGGGGAAAACACUAAGAGGGGUUAGAGAA
ensembl:lncRNA